GGAAAGGCGCGCGAUACAGGGUGACAGCCCCGUACACAAAAAUGCACAUGCUGUGAGCUCGAUGAGUAGGGCGGGACACGUGGUAUCCUGUCUGAAUAUGGGGGGACCAUCCUCCAAGGCUAAAUACUCCUGACUGACCGAUAGUGAACCAGUACCGUGAGGGAAAGGCGAAAAGAACCCCGGCGAGGGGAGUGAAAAAGAACCUGAAACCGUGUACGUACAAGCAGUGGGAGCACGCUUAGGCGUGUGACUGCGUACCUUUUGUAUAAUGGGUCAGCGACUUAUAUUCUGUAGCAAGGUUAACCGAAUAGGGGAGCCGAAGGGAAACCGAGUCUUAACUGGGCGUUAAGUUGCAGGGUAUAGACCCGAAACCCGGUGAUCUAGCCAUGGGCAGGUUGAAGGUUGGGUAACACUAACUGGAGGACCGAACCGACUAAUGUUGAAAAAUUAGCGGAUGACUUGUGGCUGGGGGUGAAAGGCCAAUCAAACCGGGAGAUAGCUGGUUCUCCCCGAAAGCUAUUUAGGUAGCGCCUCGUGAAUUCAUCUCCGGGGGUAGAGCACUGUUUCGGCAAGGGGGUCAUCCCGACUUACCAACCCGAUGCAAACUGCGAAUACCGGAGAAUGUUAUCACGGGAGACACACGGCGGGUGCUAACGUCCGUCGUGAAGAGGGAAACAACCCAGACCGCCAGCUAAGGUCCCAAAGUCAUGGUUAAGUGGGAAACGAUGUGGGAAGGCCCAGACAGCCAGGAUGUUGGCUUAGAAGCAGCCAUCAUUUAAAGAAAGCGUAAUAGCUCACUGGUCGAGUCGGCCUGCGCGGAAGAUGUAACGGGGCUAAACCAUGCACCGAAGCUGCGGCAGCGACGCUGAUGCGUUGUUGGGUAGGGGAGCGUUCUGUAAGCCUGCGAAGGUGUGCUGUGAGGCAUGCUGGAGGUAUCAGAAGUGCGAAUGCUGACAUAAGUAACGAUAAAGCGGGUGAAAAGCCCGCUCGCCGGAAGACCAAGGGUUCCUGUCCAACGUUAAUCGGGGCAGGGUGAGUCGACCCCUAAGGCGAGGCCGAAAGGCGUAGUCGAUGGGAAACAGGUUAAUAUUCCUGUACUUGGUGUUACUGCGAAGGGGGGACGGAGAAGGCUAUGUUGGCCGGGCGACGGUUGUCCCGGUUUAAGCGUGUAGGCUGGUUUUCCAGGCAAAUCCGGAAAAUCAAGGCUGAGGCGUGAUGACG
rnacentral:rRNA from 1 species